CAAUAGCGUAUAUUAAAGUUGUUGCAGUUAAAAAGCUCGUAGUUGGAUUUCUGGUUGAAGCGACCGGUCGGGCGUUGAUUCGUCUGCACUGGAGUCGGUUUUGGCCAUCCUCUAGGAAAGUGCGUCUGGUAUUAAGUUAUCGGGCGUAUGAUCCUGGUCUUUUACUGUGAAAAAAUUAGAGUGUUUAAAGCAGGCCUUCGCCUUGAAUACAUUAGCAUGGAAUAAUAAGAUAGGACUUUGGUCUAUUCUGUUGGUUUGCAGACCGAAGUAAUGAUUAAUAGGGAUAGUUGGGGGUAUUUAUAUUCCGAUGUCAGAGGUGAAAUUCUUAGAUUUUCGGAAGAUAAACUUAUGCGAAAGCAUUUACCAAGGAUGUUUUCAUUAA
rnacentral:rRNA from 1 species